ensembl:lncRNA
AGACACAAACAACAUGUUUAAUGUGGGAGCUUCGCUCUAGUGUUUUUCAGGGUACAUGCGUCUCUUUCAGAAUCUUAUGAGAGGUGAACCUGUUGCGAUACGACAGAGAAAACACGGAAUUUAGGCUUCGAAAGUCAAGGUGUCAUGGGGUCAUGGAUGCUGGUUCUGUGUACCACAGUCACUCUGAUGCCUGUGUGUCUUCAUGGAGCAAUAUCAGUCCGCUUUAAGACCGGACGGCCUCUCUAUGUGGCACUCGGCCGAACUCUUGUUUUGGAAGUCGAAUUCAAGAAGGACUCGGACGACAAAAUAGACAUGGUGACGUGGGACCGCGAGAGAGGAAAUGUCACUGUCAGACUGUCACAUGGAAACAGAAUAUCUUUGGAGAACGGAGAUGCACUUCUGCGGGUCACUGAUGUUGCAGAAGGGGACCUUGCGACCUACAAAGUCACCGUUACAGACAGUAACGGAUACCAGCAGCAAGACUCCAUAGAAGUACAAAAGAUAGUGGAAUCUCCAAAGGCGUCAAUUACACGUGUGCUGGAUUGUGUUGUGGAUAAUCAUGGCAUGACUCAGUGGGACAGCCCUCAGUUUUCAUGGCUGGUUGAUGGUGUUACAGUAACCAAUCAAUCCGCCCUGUUAACUAAUGGCAGUAGACUAGAUAUCUCUGGGAUUAAGGGUGUUAACUACACCUGCAUCAUCAGCAGCAGUCUGGGGACACUCACAACACAUUAUGAAAUGCCAAAAGGUAUUGUUCAAUAUCAAGAAUGUGUCAUUUUUUAAUGUUUGAAAGUGAAAGUCGUGACAUUUGCCAAGUAUGGUAACCCAUACUCGGAAUUGUUGCUCUGCAUUUAACCCAUCCAAGUGCACACACACAGCAGUGAGAAGUGAACACACCGUGAACACACACCCGGAGCAGUGGGCAGCUAUAUCCAGCGCCUGGGGAGCAACUGGGGGUUCAGUGCCUUGCUCAAGGUCACUUCAGUCAUGGGUGUUGAGGGUGGAAGAGAGCACUGUUCAUUCACUCCCUCCCACCUACAACUCCUGCCAGCACCGAGACUCCAACCUGUGACCUUUGGGUUACAAGUCCAACUCUCUAACCAUUAGGCCACAGCUGCCCUAUUUAGAAGAAAAAAGUCACUUUUGACUUCAAAAUGUUCACCACACAAUGCAAAAACAAUUAAAAAUAGAAAAAAAGGCAACACUUUACAAUAACAUCCCAUUAGUUAACUUUAGUUAAAGGAAUAUUUAACCCAAAAAUUAAAAUUUGCAGAACAUGUCCUCACUCUCAGGCCAUCCAAGAUCAGAUUUGGAGAAAUGUAGCAUUGCAUCACAUGCUCUGCAGUGAAUGGGUGCCGUCAGAAUGAGAGUCUGAUAAAAACAUCACAAUAAUCCACAGCACUCCAGUCCAUCAGUUAACAUCUGGAGAAGAAAAGGUGCAUGUUUGUAAGAAACAAAUGCAUCAAGAUGUUUUUAAUUUCAAACCAUUCCUUCUGGAUAAAUAUGAGUCAAUACACACAUGACACAGCGCUGCCCACGUGGCUAUUGCUCCUAUAACAGCUCAUUUUUAGCAGUUCUUUUGUCUUUGGGUUGUUAUAUUUCUCACAGAUUUCUGCUCGUUUUAAAUCAGAUACAGAUAAAGUAGCACAAUAAAGAUUUCAGUCAUAUGAAUGCGUGUGUGAAU